ensembl:lncRNA
AUGGCAAGCCGUUCAGGAAAUAAUUAUAUUUAUAAUAUGAAGUCUGAAUAUAUAUGGAAUGAAAGUCUGAAUAUAUAGAAUGAAAGUCUGAAUAUAUAUAGAAUAAAAGUCUGAAUAUAUAGAAUGAAAGUCUGAAUAUAUAUAGAAUGAAAGUCUGAAUAUAUAUAGAAUGAAAGUCUGAAUAUAUAUAGAAUAAAAGUCUGAAUAUAUAAAACGAAAGUCUGAAUAUAUGGAAUGAAAAUCUGAUGUUAUCAGUGCCAUCUUGUGUUAUUCGUCUACUAUUUUUUUUAUUCACAUUUUGAGCAAUGAGCGAGUCCGCACAAAAUUUAGUAGCAGCAAUUUUAAGUAACGAUCAUCUAAUUAACACCCUGGCGAAUGCGUGUACGGGCCAAAAUAUUGGCAACCGUACACAACAUCGUUCUACUGAUGAAGAAAUUUAUUCGUUAUUUCAUCGCGGAAGAGCGAAUGCGGUGAACUUCACAGCCCAGGAAGUUCCUGCUUAUCAAGCAAACAUUACAGACUUUCAUUCUAUAUAUAUUCAGACUUUCAUUCUAUAUAUUCAGACUUUCAUUCCAUAUAUAUUCAGACUUUCAUUCUAUAUAUUCAGACUUUCAUUCUAUAUAUAUUCAGACUUCCAUUCUAUAUAUUCAGACUUUCAUUCUAUAUAUAUUCAGACUUUCAUUCUAUAUAUAUUCAGACUUUCAUUCUAUAUAUAUUCAGACUUUCAUUCUAUAUAUUCAGACUUUCAUUCUAUAUAUAUUCAGACUUUCAUUCUAUAUAUUCAGACUUUCAUUCUAUAUAUAUUCAGACUUUCAUUCUAUAUAUUCAGACUUUCAUUCUAUAUAUAUUCAGACUUUCAUUCUAUAUAUUCAGACUUUCAUUCUAUAUAUAUUCAGACUUUCAUUCCAUAUAUAUUCAGACUUUCAUUCUAUAUAUAUUCAGACUUUCAUUCCAUAUAUUCAGACAUUCGUUUUAUAUAUUAAGACUUUCAUUCUAUAUAUAUUCAGACUUCAUAUUAUAAAUA